rnacentral:rRNA from 1 species
GACGAACGCUGGCGGCGUGCUUAACACAUGCAAGUCGAACGGAAAGGCCUGCUUUCCCUUGUGGAUUGCAGGUACUCGAGUGGCGAACGGGUGAGUAACACGUGAGUGAUCUGCCCCCAACUUGGGUAUAAGCCUGGGAAACUGGGUCUAAUUCCCGAUAGGACUGCAGGGUGGUGCCUGUGGUGGAAAACGAUUUUCUAGUGGUUGGGGAUGAGCUCGCGGCCUAUCAGCUUGUUGGUGGGGUAAUGGCCUACCAAGGCGGCGACGGGUAGCCGGCCUGAGAGGGUGGACGGCCACAUUGGGACUGAGAUACGGCCCAGACGCCUACGGGAGGCAGCAGUGGGGAAUAUUGCACAAUGGGCGGAAGCCUGAUGCAGCGACGCCGCGUGGGGGAUGACGGCCUUCGGGUUGUAAACUCCUUUCGACCGCGAGGAAGCCACCUGGUUGGAAGGGUGGUGACGGUAGUGGUAGAAGAAGCACCGGCUAACUACGUG